rnacentral:misc_RNA from 1 species
CUCAAAAAUUCAAGGAAGCUCCACGAUUCUACAAUUCUCCAAACUGCCCACCCCUCUCCUCCUACGACAUUUGCUCUCCAGAAGCCGUCCACGUGGCAAUGACUCUUGACUUUUCUUACCUCCGUGGCACCAUGGCGGCGAUUCUGUCCAUUCUCCAACACUCCUCCUGCCCGGAAAAUCUCCGCUUCCACUUCGUUUCCUCCUCCUCCUCCGCCUCCCUUCACUCCGCUAUCACCUCCUCCUUCCCUUACCUCCGCUCUCAAAUCUACACUUUCCACACCUCCUCCGUCUCUGGCCUCAUCUCCACCUCCAUCCGCUCCGCCCUCGACUCCCCUCUCAACUACGCGCGCAAUUACCUCGCCAAUCUCCUCCCUCCUUGCGUCCAAAGAGUCAUAUACUUAGACUCGGAUAUAAUUCUAGUAGAUGACAUUUCGGUGUUAGCUGCCACACCACUUGGCGAAACUGCAGUCUUGGCUGCGCCGGAGUACUGUAACGCUAACUUCACCUCUUACUUCACUCCCACGUUCUGGUCGAACCCAUCUCUGUCGCUAAUAUUCGCCGGACGCAGUGCUUGUUAUUUUAACACAGGGGUUAUGGUGAUUGAUUUAGAGAGAUGGAGACAAGGAGAUUACACG